rnacentral:rRNA from 1 species
GUGCCAGCCGCCGCGGUAAGACGUAGGGGGCGAGCGUUGUCCGGAAUUACUGGGCGUAAAGAGCACGUAGGCGGAUAUUUAAGUCUGGUGUGAAAGACCGGGGCUCAACCUCGGGGUUGCAUUAGAAACUGGAUAUCUUGAGGGCAGGAGAGGGCAGUAGAAUUCCUGGUGUAGCGGUGAAAUGCGUAGAAAUCAGGAGGAAUACCGGUGGCGAAGGCGGCUGUCUGGACUGACCCUGACGCUGAGGUGCGAAAGCGUGGGUAGCAAACAGGAUUAGAUACCCUGGUAGUCCACGCUGUAAACGAUGGAUACUAGGUGUAGGAGGUAUCGACCCCUUCUGUGCCGCAGCAAACGCAAUAAGUAUCCCGCCUGGGGAGUACGGUCGCAAGGCUGAAACUCAAAUAAAUUGACGG